rnacentral:rRNA from 1 species
UUAAGUGAACAAGGGCAUACGGCGGAUGCCUUGGCGCCAAGAGCCGAUGAAGGACGCGGUAAGCUGCGAAAAGGCAUGGGUAGGAGCAAGCAUCCAGUGAUCCAUGCAUAUCCGAAUGGGGCAACCCACCAUCAGUCAUGUGAUGGUACGAAAGAGGCAGACCUGGGGAACUGAAACAUCUAAGUACCCAGAGGAAAAGUAAUCAAUUGAGAUUCCCUAAGUAGCGGCGAGCGAAAGGGGAAGAGCCCAAACCAUGAAACUUCGGUUUUGUGGGGUUGAGGACCGGCAAAAAGAGGAAACUUCUUAGUCGAAUGGUUUGGAAAGGCCAUGCACAGAAGGUAAAACACCUGUAGGCGAAAAGAAGUCAAUCGGGCUGGUAUCCAGAGUACUGCGAGACACGUGAAACCUUGCAGGAAGCAGGGGGGACCACCCUCCAAGGCAAAAUACUACUUGGCGACCGAUAGCGCAUAGUACCGUGAGGGAAAGGUGAAAAGAACCCCGGGAGGGGAGUGAAAUAGAACCUGAAACCGUAUGUCUACAAGCAGUCGAAGCACCUUAAGAGUGCGACGGCGUGCCUAUUGAAGAAUGAACCGGCGAGUUACAUUAUGUUGCGAGGUUAAGUGGGAGACACGGAGCCGAAGCGAAAGCGAGUCUUAAUAGGGCGACUAGUAACAUGGUGUAGACCCGAAACCGCAGUGAUCUAUCCAUGGUCAGGUUGAAGCGCAGGUAAAAAUGCGUGGAGGACCGAACCCGUGAGUGUUGAAAAACUUUGGGAUGAACCGUGGAUAGGGGUGAAAUGCCAAUCGAACGCGGAGAUAGCUGGUACUCCCCGAAAUAGCUUUAGGGCUAGCCUCAGGGAAGAUUAUAGACGGUAGAGCACUGAUCUGGCAAGGGGGCGUAAAGCCUACCGACCCUAGUCAAACUUCGAAUGGCUAUAAUUAAGACCCUGGGAGUCAGACUGCGAGUGAUAAGACCCGUAGUCAAGAGGGAAACAGCCCAGACCGCCGACUAAGGUCCCCAAUGCUGUACUAAGUGGAAAAGGAUGUAAGACUUCAUAAACAACCAGGAUGUUGGCUUAGAAGCAGCCAUCAUUAAAAGAGUGCGUAAUAGCUCACUGGUCGAGAGGCCUUGCGCCGAAGAUGUCCGGGGCUCAAGUACAGAACCGAAGUCGCGGCAGGAUUAUAUAAUUCUGGGUAGGGGAGCGUUGUAUAUCCGACUGAAGGUGUACCGGAAGGAGCGCUGGAGGAUAUACAAGAGAGAAUGCCGGUAUGAGUAGCGAAAAGAACAGUGAGAAUCUGUUCCACCGAAAGCCUAAGGUUUCCUGAGCAACGCUCGUCGACUCAGGGUAAGUCGGGACCUAAGCCGAGGCAAAAAGCAUAGGCGAUGGACAACAGGUUAAUAUUCCUGUACCGCUUCAAAUCGUUUGAGCAAUGGAGUGACACAGAAGGUAGCUUGAGCACGCGAAUGGAUGUGCGUGUCGAAGGUGGUAGGUUGCAGUAUAGGCAAAUCCGUACUGUAUAAGACCGAGAACUGAUAGAUAGACGAUACUUCGGUAAAGUCAAAUUCAAGUGAGCCAUGCUGUCGAGAAAAGCUUCUAGUGAGAGAUGAGGCGCCCGUACCGAAACCGACACAGGUAGGCGGGGAGAGAAUCCUAAGGUGCGCGGGACAACCCUCGUUAAGGAACUCGGCAAAUUGUAUCCGUAACUUAGGGAUAAGGAUAGCCGGAGGAUGUGAAGGGAUUUACUUCUGGAGCGUCAGCCGGUGGCACAAGAGAGGCCCAAGCGACUGUUUAGCACAAACACAGGUGCCUGCAAAAGAGAAAUCUGACGUAUAGGUGCUGACACCUGCCCGGUGCUGGAAGGUUAAGAGGAGGGCUUAGAGGAAACUCGAAGGCUUGAAUUGAAGCCCCAGUAAACGGCGGCCGUAACUAUAACGGUCCUAAGGUAGCGAAAUUCCUUGUCGGGUAAGUUC